UCGAUGCUAGUUAUUGUCU
rnacentral:piRNA from 1 species